CCCAUUGGAGAGAGAGAGAGAGACGGAGAAAUUCUCGAGAGGAGGCGAUUUGGGCAAAAACCCAGGGUUCAGACUUGGGGGACACGAACGGGGUCGAUAAAAUUGGGCCUUUUAUGGGCCCGUAAUGUUUAAUCAUUGGGCUGAAAGCUGCAACAUAGUAGCCCAAUUUCAACUCGUAAAGUUUUCCGCGUUUUUUCCCCUAUCACGGACAAAACAGGC